rnacentral:ncRNA from 1 species
AUAAUGAUACUUCUAUUUGGCUUAACAAAUGUUGAGGAAUAGCUCGGUGGAAACGGAGAGGCUGAGAUGCCUAUGU